rnacentral:rRNA from 1 species
AACAGGAUUAGAUACCCUGGUAGUCCACGCCGUAAACGAUGUCGACUUGGAGGCUGUUCCCUUGAGGAGUGGCUUCCGGAGCUAACGCGUUAAGUCGACCGCCUGGGGAGUACGGCCGCAAGGUUAAAACUCAAAUGAAUUGACGGGGGCCCGCACAAGCGGUGGAGCAUGUGGUUUAAUUCGAUGCAACGCGAAGAACCUUACCUACUCUUGACAUCCACGGAAUUUGGCAGAGAUGCCUUAGUGCCUUCGGGAACCGUGAGACAGGUGCUGCAUGGCUGUCGUCAGCUCGUGUUGUGAAAUGUUGGGUUAAGUCCCGCAACGAGCGCAACCCUUAUCCUUUGUUGCCAGCGAUUCGGUCGGGAACUCAAAGGAGACUGCCGGUGAUAAACCGGAGGAAGGUGGGGAUGACGUCAAGUCAUCAUGGCCCUUACGAGUAGGGCUACACACGUGCUACAAUGGCGCAUACAAAGAGAAGCGACCUCGCGAGAGCAAGCGGACCUCACAAAGUGCGUCGUAGUCCGGAUCGGAGUCUGCAACUCGACUCCGUGAAGUCGGAAUCGCUAGUAAUCGUGGAUCAGAAUGCCACGGUGAAUACGUUCCCGGGCCUUGUACACACCGCCCGUCACACCAUGGGAGUGGGUUGCAAAAGAAGUAGGUAGCUUAACCUUCGGGAGGGCGCUUACCACUUUGUGAUUCAUGACUGGGGUGAAGUCGUAACAAGGUAACC